UACGGGGGGGCAAGCGUUGUUCGGAUUCACUGGGUUUAAAGGGUGCGUAGGUGGGCAGGUAAGUCAGUGGUGAAAUCUCCGGGCUUAACCCGGAAACUGCCAUUGAUACUAUCAGUCUUGAAUACCGUGGAGGUAAGCGGAAUAUGUCAUGUAGCGGUGAAAUGCUUAGAUAUGACAUAGAACACCAAUUGCGAAGGCAGCUUACUACCCGAAUAUUGACACUGAGGCACGAAAGCGUGGGGAUCAAACAGG
rnacentral:rRNA from 1 species